rnacentral:rRNA from 1 species
CAGUCGCCGCGGUAAUACGAAGGGUGCAAGCGUUAAUCGGAAUUACUGGGCGUAAAGCGCGCGUAGGUGGUUCAUUAAGUUGGAUGUGAAAGCCCUGGGCUCAACCUGGGAACUGCAUCCAAAACUGGUGAGCUAGAGUACGGUAGAGGUUAGUGGAAUUUCCUGUGUAGCGGUGAAAUGCGUAGAUAUAGGAAGGAACACCAGUGGCGAAGGCGACUACCUGGACUGAUACUGACACUGAGGUGCGAAAGCGUGGGGAGCAAACAGGAUUAGAUACCCCCGUAGUCCCUGUCUCUUAUAC